rnacentral:lncRNA from 1 species
CUCCCUGGCGCUCUCUCGCUCUAGCUCUCUCUCGCACUCGCUCUCUCUCGCUCUCACCCUCGCUCUGCGUUCUGUCCGGGAGGAGUACCCAGAAGCCAAUAGGAUGCGGGGUCUCUAAUGGAUGCAAAUGAUGGUGAAAAGACGGGGCAAAAUAUGAAACAACUCAUUUGGAGGGAAGUAAAUCACCGAAAACUGUUUAUGAACUGGCAUCCCUUCUUCGAAAUGUAAAGCGAGGACCUCUUUAAGUGGCGGUAUAUUUUUGUUUGGGGGGUGGGGGGUGGGGGGAGGGCGAGCGAGCCGCGGCUGCCAUGCAGGCUUAGACUUUUGCAGGCUUCGCUCUUCUAUUCCUGGAAAUCACAAAAAGUGUGGCGGCUUUGAGAUCUUCUUCGUCUUUUCUUUCUUUUCCUUCCUUCCUUCUUUUUUUUCCCCUCCUCCCUUUUCCUCUCCUUUCCUGGCGAGGGUGACUAGGAGCCGGCGAAUCCGCGUUUUUUUUUCUCUCUCUCUCCCUCCCUUUUCCCCCUCCCCACCCCCUCCCCAACAGCCCCCAACUACAGCCUGCGCCGCCGCCGCCGCCGCC